UUCCACUCUGACUGUUGGACCUGGACAAAAUGUCAGUCUGAUAUGUUCCUUCGAGGAUAUUAAAACUCAGAACAUCUUAUUUUGGAUCCGAUUUGCUUCUGGAACCUUUCCUGAUAUUUUAGCUACAAUGGCAUCUUACAGCUCUGCUGAACAUGGAACAUCAAAUACUGGACAUCGCAUCACAGCCAAAAAAGAGCAAGGAAAAUUUGUACUGCAAAUUAGUCAAGUAGAGAAAAGUGAUUCUGCGAUCUACUAUUGUUUAAAUGUACAACAAUAUAUGUAUACCAUGAUGUUUUUGAAAGGAACGUUCCUUCAGGUCACAGAACCAGAACCCUCCGUGUCUGUUGUCUCUGAAGUCCAACCAGGACCGCCUGUGAAGUUGCAGUGCUCAGUCCUCUCCCACUCUGGGAAUGAAACCUGUCAGGAUGGACACAAAGUGUCCUGGUUCAGAACUGGACCAGAAAGUGUCCAUCCCAGCUUUGUUUACGCUGAUGACGAAUGCAAGGAAAUCAAAGAUAAGUCCACACAGAAAUGUGUCCACACUUUAUCAAAGAACGUCAACUCCUCUGAUGCUGGAACUUACUUGUGUGCUGUGGUCACAUGUGGGAGGAUUUUCAUGGGAACUCCAAUAAAAGUCAACAACACCCAAGGUAAAUAUUAAUUCAUUAGUAUUGAUGAAUUUAACAUAAUUAUUGUUGCGAAAAAUAUUGAAUGUUUUUUUUUAUCAUAACAAUCCAGAUGGUUGCAACUGUGAUUCAAACAAUUAUGUUAUCUUUGUCUUGAGUGCUGCUUUGGCCUUAAGUUUCAUCAUGUCAGCCUUCCUCAUCAACAAAAUCAGGACAAAACAAUGUUUUUGCUGCAAAGGUAUGAAAAAAGUGCAUUAUCAAUCAUCAUUGGGUUGUUCUUUUAUGCUUUUUCUUCAAUUUUUCAGCUGGUCCACAAACACUCGAUGAAACGUUCAGUCACGUCCAGCAGAGAGACGAGGACUCUUUGGUUUAUUCCAUGCCGACCAUUGUCUCCAGGAAAACUGGCAAAGCGAGGCAGACAAAUACGAGGGCAGCAGAGGAAUUCAGCACGUACUCUGACGUGUGUCUUCAUGACUCAAUCCUCACGAAACAAAAUUAAAAUGUGUUCUGAUACACAUUAUAUUACUAUUACACAUUCUUAUACUAUUUUCCUGUAAGAAAAUUAUAAUGGAGACACGAAGAAGAG